rnacentral:rRNA from 1 species
GUCUGCACUGGUGCAUGUAUCUGGUUUGAAUCUCGGCAUCCUCUCAAAAUACGUUUCUGCGCUUGAUUGCGUGGAGCGGAGUUUGGGACUUUUACUUUGAGGAAAUUAGAGUGUUCACGGCAGGCAAUCGCCUUGAAUAUAUUAGCAUGGUAUAAUAAUAUAGGACCUUGGAUCUAUUUUGUUGGUUUCUAGAACUAAGGUAAUGAUAAAUAGGGACAGUUUGGGGGCAUUUGUACUAACGCGUCAGAGGUGGAAUUCUUGGAUUGCGUUAUGACAAACUACUGCGAAAGCAUUUGCCAAGGAUGUUUUCAUUGAUCAAGAACGAAAGUAUGGGGAUC